AUUGUCACGUGUCAUGUUCUGAUU
rnacentral:miRNA from 1 species